UACAGAGGUCUCGAGCGUUAGUCGGAUUCAUUGGGCUUAAAGCGUACGUAGGCGGAUAUGCAGGCGUCGUGUGAAAGCCCUCGGCUCAACCGAGGAAUUGCACGGCGAACCGCAUGUCUUGAGAUCGGUAGGGGCGGUCGGAACGAUAGGUGGAGUGGUGAAAUGCGUUGAUAUCUAUCGGAACGCCGAAGGUGAAAACAGGCCGCUGGGCCGAUUCUGACGCUGAGGUACGAAAGCGUGGGGAGCAAACAGG
rnacentral:rRNA from 1 species